rnacentral:rRNA from 1 species
CCUACGGGCGACAGCAGUGGGGAAUAUUGGACAAUGGGCGAAAGCCUGAUCCAGCCAUGCCGCGUGUGUGAAGAAGGCCUUCGGGUUGUAAAGCACUUUCAGUGGGGAAGAAAGCCUUGGGGCUAAUACCCUCGAGGAAGGACAUCACCCACAGAAGAAGCACCGGCUAACUCCGUGCCAGCAGCCGCGGUAAUACGGAGGGUGCGAGCGUUAAUCGGAAUUACUGGGCGUAAAGCGCGCGUAGGCGGUCUGAUAAGCCGGUUGUGAAAGCCCCGGGCUCAACCUGGGAACGGCAUCCGGAACUGUCAGGCUAGAGUGCAGGAGAGGAAGGUAGAAUUCCCGGUGUAGCGGUGAAAUGCGUAGAGAUCGGGAGGAAUACCAGUGGCGAAGGCGGCCUUCUGGACUGACACUGACGCUGAGGUGCGAAAGCGUGGGUAGCAAACAGGAUUAGAUACCCCGGUAGUC